ACGGAAGGCAGCAGUAGGGAAUUUUCGGCAAUGGGCGAAAGCCUGACCGAGCAACGCCGCGUGAACGAAGAAGGUCUUCGGAUCGUAAAGUUCUGUUAUAGAGGAAGAACGGUUACUGUAGGAAAUGACAGUAAAGUGACGGUACUCUGUGAGGAAGCCACGGCUAACUACGUGCCAGCAGCCGCGGUAAUACGUAGGUGGCGAGCGUUAUCCGGAAUCAUUGGGCGUAAAGAGGGAGCAGGCGGCCAUAAAGGUCUCAAGUUGAAAUGUACGGGCUCAACCCGUACCUGGCAGAGAAACCGUAUGGCUAGAGUUCCGCAGAGGGUCGUGGAAUUCCAUGUGUAGCGGUGAAAUGCGUAGAUAUAUGGAGGAACACCAGUGGCGAAGGCGACGACCUGGGCGAGAACAGACGCUGAGUCCCGAAAGCGUGGGGAGCAAAUAGGAUUAGAUACCCUGGUA
rnacentral:rRNA from 1 species